rnacentral:rRNA from 1 species
CACAGGGAUUGCCUCAGUAACGGCGAGUGAAGCGGCAACAGCUCAAAUUUGAAAUCUGGCCCCGGCCCGAGUUGUAAUUUGCAGAGGAUGCUUCGGGUGCGGUGCCUUCCAAGUCCCCUGGAACGGGGCGCCAGAGAGGGUGAGAGCCCCGUCCGGUCGGCCGCCAAGCCUGUAUGAAGCUCCUUCGACGAGUCGAGUAGUUUGGGAAUGCUGCUCUAAACGGGAGGUAGACCCCUUCUAAAGCUAAAUACCGGCCAGAGACCGAUAGCGCACAAGUAGAGUGAUCGAAAGAUGAAAAGCACUUUGAAAAGAGGGUUAAACAGUACGUGAAAUUGUUGAAAGGGAAGCGCUUGUGACCAGACAUGCGGCGGAUGUUCAGCAGGCGUUCUCGCCUGUGCACUGAUCCGCCGCAGGCCAGCGUCGGUUCGCUCGGGGGGAGAAAUCGGCGGGAACGUGGCUCCUCCGGGAGUGUUAUAGCCCGCCGUCAUGCCCCCGUCCGGACCGAGGUUCGCGUUCGCAAGGACGCUGGCGUAAUGGUCUCCAGCGGCCCGUCUUGAAACACGGACCAAGGAGUCGAGGUUUUGCGCGAGUGUUUGGGUGUCAAACCCGCACGCGUAAUGAAAGUGAACGUAGGUGGGAGCCUCGGCGCACCACCGACCGAUCCUGAUGUUUUCGGAUGGAUUUGAGUACGAGCGCAAAGCUUCGGACCCGAAAGGUGAGCAAAUAUUGCAUCGCAUUAUUACAGUCGAGACUUUUACUAAUAGUACUCUAGAUGGUGAACUAUACGUGGAUAGGGUGAAGCCAGAGGAAACUCUGGUGGAGGCUCGCAGCGGUUCUGACGUGCAAAUCGAUCGUCAAAUCUGCGUAU